AAAGCCCAUCCCCUUCCAUCGUCACUUCACUCUCUUCCCCUUUCAUUUCUAAAAAAUCAGAAUUCCCAAAUUGGGGAGGGGAAAAGCCCUAGAUUCAUCUCUCCCAUUCUCUCGGCGGAAUCGCCGCUCCACCCGGGUCACCGGAGCGCCAACGGCGUUUCUCCUCGGCGUCUCGCGUCGCUGCCCGUUGCCGGGUGAACAGCCACUGCUGCCCGCCGAAGUCGCUGCUGUCGCGCAGCCGUUGCUCAGUGAACGGUCAGCACCUGCGCCGCUGCAUCACUGGCCGCCCGGCUGAGACCGCACGGUCUACGGCCGUCUCUGAUCAUCCACCGACGGCUGAACUCGAACCGUCGCUCCCCUCCGUAUUGGUGUGAAGAUAAGUUCUUUUCCUAAAUUCACAUUCUUACUUGGUGUAUUUUGACAAGGUCUCUAAUUUUUGAACAUUUUCAGCCGCUGAGUUCUUCUAUGUGGAGUAUAGGAUUCUACUCUUAGACAUGGCUUCAUAGUUGUAUCUUGCUUAUUGGUGAAGUUUAGGACUCUAGUAUGCUCCGUUGUACUUUGGUGUUGUGUAACAGAAGUGUACUAAAGCUGUAAAUUUCCUUAUCCUAAGCAUGAUGUUCAAAACGAGGCAGAGGGUGUGCAAGAGUUUUUACUGUUUCUUCCAUUCAUUUUAUCAAGAUUUUGAAGUGGGGCUCUAACAUGCUUGAGGUUUUAGUUACCACAUGAUGGCAUGAACUAAAUGAGAGGGAGGUGGAGGUGUAUUACCUCUUGAAGAUGGCAGUUGCUUGAUUUUCAGUUUCCAAAAUCCUCAAAGUUCACACACCUUUUCUGAAAAUUUCUAGUUGCAGUGGAAGGGGAAAAAAAAGGAGUGAGCUUGAGUUGAGCAUGAAAUCCUUGUGGGGAGGAGGAAAGAAAUGUUACCUAUGGGGAGUAAGGCUGCCUGCAAUAAUCCUGCAGAAAUCUUUACCUAGUUUCCUCACUCUCAAGUUUGCUAAUUUUGACUGAAAGUUUCAAAGUAUGGAAGGGGAAUGUGAAAGUGGUGUGGAGGGAUUUUUAUAGGAAGACUUUGGUGUACUUUGAUGAAUUAAAUGGCUGAUAUUGUAGUUUUGUCUCCACUUGAAGCAUAUCUCUUUAGUUGAUUCACUUGUAGGACUAAGUUUUGGUGUUACUUGUAGUACUAUGCACUUUGCCAUUUAUUUCCUCUUGUUCCUACAUGACUACCUAGUACAUCACCUUACAAGUCAUUUAAUUGCUCUUGUUUGAUUUUCCCAGCUCUCGGUUGGCUAGGAGAGAGUGUAGGAGUUUACUUGCCAUCUUAGGCAAUACUUGUGCUUACUUUAUGAAAGGCAAAGUGGUCAACUUCCUUAAGUUUCUCUCCUACUUGGUGGUGUGGACACUGACCCAGCUGCCCCGCUGCUGACCGCGACGUGGGCUCGCUCUCCUAGGUCAACGGGCUGAUCUGGUAGGGCCGUGGUGGUUGCGAUUUGGGCUCGGGAGGAGAAGGCCCAAAGUUUAGCAAGACUUUUAGUUUCUUAGUCCUUUUGGUCCAUCCAUGAAUAAUUGUAAAGAUAUUCGAACUCCUUUGGUCUAUCCAUGAAUAAUUGCCUCUA